rnacentral:rRNA from 1 species
CCCUUAGAUGUUCUGGGCCGCACCCGCGCUACACUGACAGAGCCAACGAGUUCAUUUCCUUGGCCGGAAGGUCUGGGUAAUCUUGUUAAACUCUGUCGUGCUGGGGAUAGAGCAUUGCAAUUAUUGCUCUUCAACGAGGAAUGCCUAGUAAGCGCGUGUCAUCAGCACGCGUUGAUUACGUCCCUGCCCUUUGUACACACCGCCCGUCGCUCCUACCGAUCGAAGAGUUAGGUGAAUUGUUUUGAUCGAUAAGAUUUGACUAUGGUCAACUCUCGUUGUGAAAUUCUGUGAAUCCGACUGUUUAGAGGAAGGAAAAGUCGUAACA